CUGGAGGUAUCAGAAGUGCGAAUGCUGACAUAAGUAACGAUAAAGCGGGUGAAAAGCCCGCUCGCCGGAAGACCAAGGGUUCCUGUCCAACGUUAAUCGGGGCAGGGUGAGUCGACCCCUAAGGCGAGGCCGAAAGGCGUAGUCGAUGGGAAACAGGUUAAUAUUCCUGUACUUGGUGUUACUGCGAAGGGGGGACGGAGAAGGCUAUGUUGGCCGGGCGACGGUUGUCCCGGUUUAAGCGUGUAGGCUGGUUUUCCAGGCAAAUCCGGAAAAUCAAGGCUGAGGCGUGAUGACGAGGCACUACGGUGCUGAAGCAACAAAUGCCCUGCUUCCAGGAAAAGCCUCUAAGCAUCAGGUAACAUCAAAUCGUACCCCAAACCGACACAGGUGGUCAGGUAGAGAAUACCAAGGCGCUUGAGAGAACUCGGGUGAAGGAACUAGGCAAAAUGGUGCCGUAACUUCGGGAGAAGGCACGCUGAUAUGUAGGUGAAGUCCCUCGCGGAUGGAGCUGAAAUCAGUCGAAGAUACCAGCUGGCUGCAACUGUUUAUUAAAAACACAGCACUGUGCAAACACGAAAGUGGACGUAUACGGUGUGACGCCUGCCCGGUGCCGGAAGGUUAAUUGAUGGGGUCAGCGCAAGCGAAGCUCUUGAUCGAAGCCCCGGUAAACGGCGGCCGUAACUAUAACGGUCCUAAGGUAGCGAAAUUCCUUGUCGGGUAAGUUCCGACCUGCACGAAUGGCGUAAUGAUGGCCAGGCUGUCUCCACCCGAGACUCAGUGAAAUUGAACUCGCUGUGAAGAUGCAGUGUACCCGCGGCAAGACGGAAAGACCCCGUGAACCUUUACUAUAGCUUGACACUGAACAUUGAGCCUUGAUGUGUAGGAUAGGUGGGAGGCUUUGAAGUGUGGACGCCAGUCUGCAUGGAGCCGACCUUGAAAUACCACCCUUUAAUGUUUGAUGUUCUAACGUUGACCCGUAAUCCGGGUUGCGGACAGUGUCUGGUGGGUAGUUUGACUGGGGCGGUCUCCUCCUAAAGAGUAACGGAGGAGCACGAAGGUUGGCUAAUCCUGGUCGGACAUCAGGAGGUUAGUGCAAUGGCAUAAGCCAGCUUGACUGCGAGCGUGACGGCGCGAGCAGGUGCGAAAGCAGGUCAUAGUGAUCCGGUGGUUCUGAAUGGAAGGGCCAUCGCUCAACGGAUAAAAGGUACUCCGGGGAUAACAGGCUGAUACCGCCCAAGAGUUCAUAUCGACGGCGGUGUUUGGCACCUCGAUGUCGGCUCAUCACAUCCUGGGGCUGAAGUAGGUCCCAAGGGUAUGGCUGUUCGCCAUUUAAAGUGGUACGCGAGCUGGGUUUAGAACGUCGUGAGACAGUUCGGUCCCUAUCUGCCGUGGGCGCUGGAGAACUGAGGGGGGCUGCUCCUAGUACGAGAGGACCGGAGUGGACGCAUCACUGGUGUUCGGGUUGUCAUGCCAAUGGCACUGCCCGGUAGCUAAAUGCGGAAGAGAUAAGUGCUGAAAGCAUCUAAGCACGAAACUUGCC
rnacentral:rRNA from 1 species